rnacentral:rRNA from 1 species
UACGUAGGGGGCAAGCGUUGUCCGGAGUUACUGGCGUAAAGCGCACGCAGGCGGUCUCUUAAGUUUGGAGUGACAGUUGGUGGCUUAACUGCCAAAGUGCUUCGAAAACUGAGAGACUUGAGGGCUUCAGAGGGACACGGAAUUCCGGGUGGAGUGGUGAAAUGCGUAGAGAUCCGGAGGAACACCAAAGGCGAAGGCAGUGUCCUGGGGAGUACCUGACGCUCAGGUGCGAAAGCCAGGGAGCGAACGGG